UGAAAGGAUCCAUUUCUUUUCAUGCCAUGUGAUCAAUAUUAAACCUCCCUUUCUUUGUCUUCCAGGUGCAACAUCGAGUAACGGGUCAGGUGACGGCUCUGAAGAUGAACAUCCUGGCCAGUAACCGAGCCAACAUGCUCAGGGAGGUCCAGCUGAUGAACAGAUUAUCACACCCUAACAUACUCAGGUUUUUUGGCGUGUGCGUGCACGAGGGGCAGCUGCAUGCUCUGACGGAGAAACUGCAGCUUGUGAGUU